GGCUGAUGGGCAGGGCUAAAAAAGGUCAAUUAAAUUAACUGAAAUAUUUCAAAUUUCAGGUGACCGUUAAGGCCCAUGGGCCUCUUGUUUUAUUUCAUUGUAGCCAAGAUUACAUGAAAGCCCCUGUAAUUGUGGAUAAAUUUGUUGUUUCUAAAUACAGAAAGCAACAACUAUAAAUUUGAUAGAAUAAUUUAACAUUCCAUGAACAAAGAGUAAUCAUUCUUCAUAGCAAAAGAUUUUAGUUGUUUGUCAUUUGAAUCGAAAAUUUCCCUUUAAAACCAGUUAUAUUUUCCAAGGUCAGUGUUGUUCUUAGUUGCAUUGAUGUGCAAAGUUGUAGAUCUGAAACCAACCAAUAAAACUCUUAGUACUAUUGAAUCAAUGGAUGUAACAAGGGCUUUCAUUAGUUGGUUUAAACAAUAAGAAAGGUCGUGAUUGGUUGGAUUUAGAUGAAGGUGUUAAUAGAGGAUGUGAAUGCUGCUUGUAGGUGCUAUAAUUGUUUGCCUGUUAUUGUAGACAUGAUGGUUAUAGCUGAUGCUGUCAUUGACACUAAUACAUGUGAUUUUAAUUAUAUUAUUGUGAAUCAUGAAAUGAAUUAUUGUAUAUUUUUAUGUCAUAUCACUGAAAAAAUUGAUUACGUCUGAAGAAAGCUGACUUUAUUUUUUUGAUUUUGUAAUGAAUCAUGUGUUCCUGUGCGAGAUCUAGAUGUAAUUACAUUAUUUGUGAUAAAUUUCCGUUGUGUCAGUGAUCCCUGUGACCUUUUGUGACCUUUCAUGACCUUAUAAGUGCUGUUUAUGUUUUCUGCAUGAUAUCAAACUGUGAAAGUAAACAAUUAUCAAAAAAAAUUUAAUUUGAUUUUCUAAGAUAGAUAGAUAUUGUCAAAAAAGUUAAAUCAAAGUUUCAAUUCAACCCAUGUUUAUGAUUUAUAAAAUAGUAUGAAUUACUAACGAUGUCAAAUAGAUUUAAUCACUCUUUGAAUAUUAUAACACUUCAAACAUUUUCACUUUUACUUGAAUUAAAAGGGGAAAAAAAAUAUUGUGUUAUCAUACACCUGGUAAGUUAUAUUUCAUUAUUUUCACUGAUCAUCCAUUUGGAUAUAAAAAGGUAUUGUAGUAAAGGACUUUCUGUCGAAGUUUACAUAUCCCUCGCCAUAUCUAGUUAUCUAUCCUCACACAUAUCACUAGUUUGUUAUACCCCGAUAAAACAAAGUACUGUAGGUGUAUAUUCUAAUUAACAGAUGUAGUGCUUUUCAUGCCAAGAACAAUAAAUAUUAUCCUAAACUAUGACUGCUCUUAUAUCAGUUUCUCUAUAAUAGUAGUAUCGGUGCCAAAUUUAUCAUCAUGCUCAUCUGUUUGACUUCGAAAAGAUGCUUAAAUCUGAUGGCAUCAAAAUUGUUAUACAAACAGUAGCUAAUAAGCUUGACUAGAAUCUAGAGCAUAUUACUUACAUUGUACUGGUGCACGCUUGCUUUCCCUAUAUUUAUGUUGCUACUUAUACGGUAUACAUGGAAAGUUUUAUUACACUUUUACUGGGAGGUCCUUCACUGAGGGACUUUUUUCUUUUUUUUCUGAGGGACUUAAUAUGUAUGAUAACAUGGGUAAAAGUAGUAAGUCUUAUUAGGAAUUUGCAUAAUUUGAAUUUGAUUGAAACAUAACAAAAAACAAUUUCAGCUGCAGGAAGUGUUCACAGUGAUUACUGGUAACAUUUGGAUAUACUUUUUACUAGGAGCUCUAUGAUAGUGUUUUGUCCGGUAUGUAGAUAUACUUCUUUAGAAAAGCCUUUGAAUUUUAAUGAAAUUGUGGCCUUUUUACACCUACAGAACGGCUAGAUAUGUAGGGCAAUAUUUAUAUUAUCUUCAUUUUGCUACAAAAAUAUAAAACUUGUAUCUGUAUACACUGAUAGAUAAAAAUAAACUUAACUGUAGCAUGUAAGUUGUCUGAAUAAUGAAGAAAGAUAUAUUGUAAAAUGUUAAUAAACACUUACUUGAGUGCAAUAUGGAAGAAGGGAGGGGACUAGUAAAUGUGUUGUUGUGGUGCUUACUUAUACUGUGGAGAAGCAUGUUAAAUGUAGAAUACCCUGCCUUUGCUGGUUGUGUUACUGGAAUCCCUCACCAUUAGACCACUUUAAUCCUGCAUUCCUCAAAUCAUAAAGUCUAUCCAAAAGAUACAGUGCUAUAAUAUUAUUGUACUUAAUUUAGGGCACUUUUAUAUUUAUAUAUUAUAUAGCUAAAGUAUUAAAUUGGAUGGGACUGGGAUGGGAUGUGUGUGUUAUUUCAUCUUUUCCCUAUGCAGAGUUAUCUGCUCUUGUGAACUGGUAUUGAUUGUUAGGUCAUUUGUUUGUGAGAGUACCGUCAUGAAUUUGUGAGAAAAAAUGUAAUUUUCUCGUACAAACUAAUGACCUUACAAUCUCUACUUGCUCACAAGAGAAGAUAACUCUGCAAUAGGAAAGGACACACUAGAGACAGGCUAAACAAUUCAUGUAUUUCAUAAACAAUGAGGCUCUCUGUCCUAUGAGUUCCAGACUUGGUCUAUAUUAGUUUUGCAGAUAUGAAAACUUUAUUUUCAUGACUAUAAAAAUAUAUUAAGUGUUUAUGAAAUAUGCUCUAUAGAAUUUUGAAAUGCUCAGUUAAUAUACUGAUACACAAAACUUCCAGGUGUAUUUAUCAGAAAACUGAAUUUCAAAAUAUGGUUUGAGGUUAACAAGAUAGUAAGCAGACAGAGUCCUAUAACUGUGGAUGUAGGAACAUAUACCAUUAUACAUGCUGAUCUCAGACAAUGUCAUCUCUAAACAAAGGCCAAAGUAUGAAAUGUACUAGAGACAUAAUGUUACCUUUACGUAUAGUUCUAGUAUAAAAAUGUAUUUAUUGAUUUGUGAGCUAAAAUUAGUUAACUCUAAAUGCAUUUGGUAAUAUAAUAUUUGAAAAAGCUUAGUACAAAUAGUCAUUAUCUUAAUUUCUUGCGUAUUGCCUGUAAUCUAUAUGUCAAAAUCAUUAAUAAAUGUCCCCUAGGGGCUCUCUACAAUACUUCUUUCACGUGGGUGUAUGUAACCAUGACCUUACAGUACUGUGUAUCUACAUUACAAAAAUAGCACAGUAGUAGGUGUAAUAAAGGAUCUUACACUCGUAGCUAUGUCAUAUCAAAUUUAUUUAACAAGUUUAAUAAUUUGGUAUGUAAUGAGCCUUCAGGCAAGUGGCAUAUACAUACUUUAUAUGUAACAAGUUUAAUAAUUUGGUAUGUAAUGAGCUUUCAGGUGAAUGGCAUAUACUAUAAGAAUGAGUUUGAUAAAUUCUCUAUUACAUAACUACGAGUGUAAGAUUCUGUUUAUCACUUAACUCAUAUUUAUGCAAAUUAUAUUUUAAGACUUGUGACAUACUAAAUUAUGGAACUCAUUUAUGGUAAUAAAUUCCGUAUGACAUAGUCAUGAGUGUAAGGUUCUGUUAAUGUGUAAAUGUGAAAACUGUCAAAUUAAUUUCUGUAUAAGAGAGUCGAGCUUCAACCGUUUGCUUUCCUCUGCAGAGACAAAAUUGUGUGAUGUCAAAGGAUUAUUGUGAUGUCAUGAAUUAUUUAUGACAUCACAAUAGGUAUUAUUACACAAUUGCCUUUAACAAUAUUUAUGACUUAGCCGUAUUAAAUGGUAGAACAUGACAGUUAUAUGAUAAACUAAUUUCCAGCUUUUACAAACAAAUAACAUACUAGUCAUACAACAUAAUAUCGUAACUCAUCAAGCUUAAAACUUCUCACAAUUCUCGCUUUUAUUUAUCAGGUAUCAGGUAUUGGUAGCCAGGUAUACAGGUAAGCUGAUAGGGAUGAAACUACAUACUAUUCAAGUUACUAGAUAUAUAUCAGUCGGAAAGGCUAUCAACUAAGUAUAUGUAUAUUUUACUUUUUAAAAAUAGGGCAUUUUGAUCUUUGUCGGCUUUCUGGUGCUCAGCAGGCAAUGCGCAAGACAUUAUACAGUGCUAUUGUAAUAUUGAUAUAAUUGGUGCUUUAUUUUCCAAUUAAAAGUAGCUUUAGUUAUUGAUAUUUUUUUUAAAUGUAAAUCAUUUCAUCAACAUGUUUAAAAUGAAGGUCACUGUGUGAACAUCUGCCAUAUAAUGUAUAAAGACCUGGAGUUGAUCAAUAAAGUUAAAGUACGAAAAAACGUUUUGAUCAAUACUGUAAUGUUAAAUGGUUAAUACUGACAGAGUAUAUUGAUCAUGAGUUAUGAGUUAUAAAUCAAUAAGAUUGACACAUCAUACAAAAUUAAUAUAUUACAGUUGUAAAGUAGGUGUUCUUUAGUUAACAGGAUUAUGUGUUCCUCACCUCUACAGCUUGACCUGCAUGCUUUGUAAUAACACACUAGCUCUCCUGGAAUAGGGAGGAAUACAAGCUUAUGCUUUGUGUACUGUCAAUCACUUGUCUUUGACCAAUAAUUAAUUAUGCAGUUUUGUUUCAUAUGACAGAUUCGUGAAACAAACAGUAAGAAGCGAGAAACCUGUUUGAAUGUGCCUAUAUAUGAUCAAGAUCUCUGUACCAUGAAAAUGAGGAUAAUGGAACUUGUGAUAGCCUUCCUAUAUAAUGUACAAGGAAACGUGAUAAUAGUAUACAGAGAUGUGUCCUCUAAACAUCAAACAAUCAUUUCAGGCUUUGGAAUUCUGGCUGAUCUAGAUGACUGAUCAGAAUGAUGAAGUCUAUGAUUCUGUUUUAGUAGACUAUGAAAUGAUAUACCCAAGAAAGUAUGUGUACUGUUCAUAAGGGUCAUGUUAAUGUAGCCUAUUUAUUAUACAGUUUUAACCUUGUUUUAAGGUUAAUUUUAUGGGAAACAUUACAAAUUGAUACAAUGUAUAAUAUGGGAAAACAUUUCACAUAUUGAUACAAUGUGAAAACAUUAUAAAUACUGUGUGGCUUAUGUAAAAUACAGUAUGAUAUGGCAUGAUAAAUGUGUGGAAUGUAUUGUAUUGUAAAUGUACCAUUGUUUAAGCAUAAAAUGCUUACACUGUUGGUGUGUGAUAGUGUAUUCAAUCAAUACUAUUCAAGACUGCAAUGUAAUACACUGUAACAGGUGUCUCACAAAGUACUAUAUACAAUGUAAUACACUGUAACAGGUGUCUCACAAAGUACUAUAUACAAUGUUAUACACUAACAGGUGUCUCACAAAGUACUAUAUACAAUGUAAUACACUGUAACAGGUAUGACACAGUUUACUAUAUACAAUGUAAUACACUGUAGCAAGUGUGAAACAUUGUAUUUUAUACUAUGUGAUACACUGUAUCAGUUAUGACAGAGCAUACUAUAUACAAUGUAAUACUUUGUUACAUAUAGCUAUGCUUUGUAUUAUGUAAUGUUGUUUAAGAGUAUAAUGUAGUACAUGUACUAUGUAUGGGUUGAUUUUAUACAGUGGGUAGUUGUUACUGCAGUAUUCUAAGUACCUAGCUUUAUGUAUUAUUGUUUGUAAAUACCAAGUUGUAAUAUAUUAUUAUACACUUUGUGAUUCGUAACUAUCAUUGUAAAUGAAUAUGUAAACCACUAACUUCUGAUCUUCUUGAUAGGUCUGACCAGACUCACUGUUUUGUAAAUCUAAACUAGAAACUUUACAACAGAACAAUUUAUCCAUAUCAUCUUAUACUUAUCACUCUUUGAUGGAAACAUGUGAGGAGUCAUGGAGGUUCCCUCCAUUACUUCCAACAUCUGAUCUAAAAAUCAAACCCAGUUGCCUUGCUGGCGAGUAAAUUUACCACUGUACCACCAAGCCAACCUGUGGGUACCUAAACACGUCCUAGUUAAGAUGGCUUAUGAUUGAAUAUUAACCUGAUACUUUUAAAUAACAAACACUGCAUUCAAUUUGGCUUUCUCAAUAUUCUUUAAUGUUUUGUUAGACUAUACCUUUGAAUAUAGCCUCCUUUAAAACUUCAGGCCAAAAUUGACAUCAGUUGUCCAGGGCAUAAAUCAGGAUUCUGAUGUUACAUGUCCAACAUGUUAAUGAUUUUCUUACAAAUGAUUUAUAAAACGAAUUUUAUAAAUUAAAAUUCAUUAGAUUGAUUGUGUCAUUUAUUUUACUGUACAUAUGGUUAGAAGACAUUUUGAGAACACCUAACAAUCAUAUUAUCAAUAUAGAGAAGAUAAGCGAUUGCUACUGGUAUGUAAUGAUACUGCUGUUGUCGUUCUGUUAUCGUACAAUACUGUGAUAUUUUGUUACUGGAUUUGCUGUAUAAUACUGUAUGUGUCCGACUACUGUACAACUGCAUUUAUCUAUUAUUAUAGCUUCCUAUGAAGGAUAGAACUGCCACAUGUUUUAUCACCUCCGCAUCACCACAUGUGGUGUCUCUUGCUGCCUUUCUUAAAGCCACCUGUCAAGCAGACGGUCAUUUGCUGUACCUGCUAAUUUCAACUUCUUUAUGGCAUCAACAGAUCUUGACUGAUGUGGUCAAACUGAUGUCAUGUGGCAUCAGCAGGUCUGGACAAACUGGUGUUGUCAUGUGGCAUCAACAGGUCUGGACAAACUGGUGUUGUCAUGUGGCAUCGACAGGUCUGGACAAACUGGUGUUGUCAUGUGGCAUCAUCAACUGAUUGGUCAAAUUAGUGUUACCAUUUGAUAUCCACAACGGAUCUGGACAAACUGGUGUUGCAAUGUGGCAGUCUUCAUCAUAUUUUGACAAGAAAAACCUGAUGUUCCCAUGCGGCAUAUUUAAACAGAUUAGAAAUAUUCUUAGAAAUAUUCUGAUAACAUCCGUUGAGACUAUAUAUAAUAUGCAGCUUAGAAAUCUUUAAAGUGUAAAUCACCAUGGUCCACCUUAACAGAUAUGUUUGGUUUUCAACUGGGUAGAAUAAGACAUGAUAAAGUACUUGCUUUUGUAGAGAAUCUUCCUAGGGAUCACAGUUCUCUAUCCUGAUCUAUAUAUACCCAGUGACCUGUCGGUUGUGAUGUCAAAGUAUCACAACUGUUUAUAAACCGUACUAUUAUCACUAUAUAUACUCCAUAUCAUCAUUGAGACCAUUAUGGCUUGUCGUCGUGUAUCAAGUUUAUAGUAACCAAGUCGAUGUUGUGUUAUCUAGGAUAAUUUUUGUUUCAUUUUCUUGUAUAAAUUAACUUUUGUGUUCGCAUUUGCAUUGGAAGCCUUUCAUGGUUAGACUCAAAUUCGUGAGUUAAUAAACCCAAUUCUAGUUCUUUGAGAAUGAAAUGAGGCCAGUUAUCAUUAUUCUUCAUCAAAUAGAGGGGUUGUUUGGAAGGAAAUCUGAGGGGAUAGAGGCUUUGGUAGUGAAAUAGACCCUCUUGGAGAAAAUCUUAAAAUAUUUUGGUGCAUUUGAAACUUUUGAACAGCAAGAUCUUUUAUGGAAAUGAUGAAAAUCUGACACAACAGUUAAGGAUAUUUUAUUUGUAAUUACUCACAAAAUAUAUCACUGCACUAUUAAUGAUGCAGCACUUUUAGCAGCUAUUUGUUUUGUUUGUUUCCGACACAAUCUUGAAGAGUAAAUACUUAUAUUACUGUAUGUAGAUCUACUUACGUGAAUAUCUAAGGUGGUUUGGAAAUCUUUCAUUUUUACCUCACCGGUUACGAGUAACCGUGAGCUAAUGCUGUACCCGCGGCUUCGGCGUCGGCGUCCCACCCCACUUUGAAGUUUUUGGGAUCAGUUUUUGGAAAGCUUCUAAGUCCAAAAGUAUACAACUCACACCCUUCUAAUUUGGUUUAUACAUUCAUUAGAGGUCUAGAAAUGAUGUUAUGGCAAAAUCAUGCUGAAAAAAAUAGUGAUAUUGUCGUAUUUUACCAUUUUGUGGACUUAACUUUUUUAGCACCAAAAUUCACUUUAAACUUAGCACCAAAAUCCACUUUAAAGUUUUUGGGAUCAGUUUUUAGAAAGCUUCUAAGUU